GAUGAACGCUAGCUACAGGCUUAACACAUGCAAGUCGAGGGGAAACGGCAUUUAGUGCUUGCACCGAAUGGACGUCGACCGGCGCACGGGUGAGUAACGCGUAUCCAACCUACCCAUUACUGUGGAAUAACCUGCCGAAAGGCAGACUAAUACCGCAUAGUCUUCGAUGACGGCAUCAGAUUUGAAGUAAAGAUUUAUCGGUAAUGGAUGGGGAUGCGUCUGAUUAGCUUGUUGGCGGGGUAACGGCCCACCAAGGCAACGAUCAGUAGGGGUUCUGAGAGGAAGGUCCCCCACAUUGGAACUGAGACACGGUCCAAACUCCUACGGGAGGCAGCAGUGAGGAAUAUUGGUCAAUGGACGAGAGUCUGAACCAGCCAAGUAGCGUGCAGGAUGACGGCCCUAUGGGUUGUAAACUGCUUUUGUAUGGGGAUAAAGUCAAUUACGUGGAUUGUUUGCAGGUACCA
rnacentral:rRNA from 1 species